rnacentral:lncRNA from 10 species
GAUUAAUGACAGAUUGGACAUUGAAGAAGUUUAGUGAAUUUGAAGGAAUAGCAAUAGAAACUAUCCAAAAUAAAAUACAUGGAGAAAAAAGAACAUAUUUUAAAAAGAAAAAAAAUUAGUGAGUAGUACAACUUCAAGCAGCCUCAUGUACGGGCAAUUGGAGUUCACAAAUCAGGGAGGCUAUAGAAAAAAUGACUGAGGAAAUAAAGGCAAAAAACUUUUCAAAUGUAAUAAAACCAUAAACCCACAAAUUCAGAAAAUUCAAUGAACCCUAGGCAUAAGGAACAUGAAGAAAACUAUACCAGGGUAUAUUAUAAUCAAAUUGCACAAUUGUGGUAAUAAAGAGA